GUCCAGGAUGAAGGUAAGGUAAUACUUACUGGAGGUCCGAACCCACGCACGUUGAAAAGUGCGGGGAUGAGGUGUGGGUAGCGGAGAAAUUCCAAUCGAACUUGGAGAUAGCUGGUUCUCUCCGAAAUAGCUUUAGGGCUAGCCUCGAGGUAAAGAGUCAUGGAGGUAGAGCACUGUUUGGACUAGGGGCCCUUCUCGGGUUACCGAAUUCAGAUAAACUCCGAAUGCCAUGUACUUAUACUCGGGAGUCAGACUGCGAGUGAUAAGAUCCGUAGUCGAAAGGGAAACAGCCCAGACCACCAGUUAAGGUCCCCAAAUAUAUGUUAAGUGGAAAAGGAUGUGGGGUUGCUUAGACAACCAGGAUGUUGGCUUAGAAGCAGCCACCAUUGAAAGAGUGCGUAAUAGCUCACUGGUCGAGUGACCCCGCGCCGAAAAUGUACCGGGGCUAAACAUAUUACCGAAACUGUGGAUGAACCUCUUUAGAGGUUCGUGGUAGGAGAGCGUUCUAAGGGCGGUGAAGUCAGACCGGAAGGACUGGUGGAGCGCUUAGAAGUGAGAAUGCCGGUAUGAGUAGCGAAAGAAGGGUGAGAAUCCCUUCCACCGAAUAUCUAAGGUUUCCUGAGGAAGGCUCGUCCGCUCAGGGUUAGUCGGGACCUAAGCCGAGGCCGAUAGGCGUAGGCGAUGGACAACAGGUAGAGAUUCCUGUACCAGUGCUAAUUGUUUAACCGAUGGGGUGACACAGAAGGAUAGGGAAUCGCACGAAUGGAAAUGUGCGUCCAAGCAGUGAGUGUGAGAAGUAGGCAAAUCCGCUUCUCGCGAAGCAUGAGCUGUGAUGGGGAAGGAAAUUAAGUACGGAAGUUCCUGAUUUCACGCUGUCAAGAAAAGCCUCUAGGAAGAGUAGUACUGCCCGUACCGCAAACCGACACAGGUAGAUGAGGAGAGAAUCCUAAGGUGAGCGAGAGAACUCUCGUUAAGGAACUCGGCAAAAUGACCCCGUAACUUCGGGAGAAGGGGUGCUCUAUUAGGGUGCAAGCCCGAGAGAGCCGCAGUGAAUAGGCCCAGGCGACUGUUUAGCAAAAACACAGGUCUCUGCAAAACCGUAAGGUGACGUAUAGGGGCUGACGCCUGCCCGGUGCUGGAAGGUUAAGAGGAGUGCUUAGCUUCGGCGAAGGUACGAAUUGAAGCCCCAGUAAACGGCGGCCGUAACUAUAACGGUCCUAAGGUAGCGAAAUUCCUUGUCGGGUAAGUUCCGACCCGCACGAAAGGCGCAACGAUCUGGGCACUGUCUCAACGAGAGACUCGGUGAAAUUAUAGUACCUGUGAAGAUGCAGGUUACCCGCGACAGGACGGAAAGACCCCGUGGAGCUUUACUGCAACCUGAUAUGGAAUGUUUGUACCGCUUGUACAGGAUAGGUAGGAGCCGAAGAGACGUGUGCGCUAGCAUACGAGGAGGCAAUGGUGGGAUACUACCCUGGCUGUAUGACCAUUCUAACCCGCCACGCUUAGCGCGUGGGGAGACAGUGUCAGGUGGGCAGUUUGACUGGGGCGGUCGCCUCCUAAAGAGUAACGGAGGCGCCCAAAGGUUCCCUCAGAAUGGAUGGAAAUCAUUCGCAGAGUGUAAAGGCACAAGGGAGCUUGACUGCGAGACUGACAAGUCGAGCAGGGACGAAAGUCGGGCUUAGUGAUCCGGUGGUUCCGCAUGGAAGGGCCAUCGCUCAACGGAUAAAAGCUACCCCGGGGAUAACAGGCUUAUCUCCCCCAAGAGUCCACAUCGACGGGGAGGUUUGGCACCUCGAUGUCGGCUCGUCGCAUCCUGGGGCUGUAGUCGGUCCCAAGGGUUGGGCUGUUCGCCCAUUAAAGCGGCACGCGAGCUGGGUUCAGAACGUCGUGAGACAGUUCGGUCCCUAUCCGUCGCGGGCGCAGGAAAUUUGAGAGGAGCUGUCCUUAGUACGAGAGGACCGGGAUGGACACACCGCUGGUGUACCAGUUGUUCCGCCAGGAGCAUCGCUGGGUAGCUAUGUGUGGCAGGGAUAAACGCUGAAAGCAUCUAAGCGUGAAGCCCCCCUCAAGAUGAGAUUUCCCAUUUCUUCGGAAAGUAAGAUCCCUGAAAGAUGAUCAGGUAGAUAGGUUUGGAGUGGAAGUGUAGCGAUACAUGGAGCGGACAAAUACUAAUCGAUCGAGGACUUAACCAAAA
rnacentral:rRNA from 1 species